rnacentral:rRNA from 1 species
UACGAAGGGGGCUAGCGUUGCUCGGAAUCACUGGGCGUAAAGCGCACGUAGGCGGCUUUUUAGGUCAGGGGUGAAAUCCUGGAGCUCAACUCCAGAACUGCCUUUGAUACUGAGAAGCUUGAGUCCGGGAGAGGUGAGUGGAACUGUGAGUGUAGAGGUGAAAUUCGUAGAUAUUCGCAAGAACACCAGUGGCGAAGGCGGCUCACUGGCCCGGUACUGACGCUGAGGUGCGAAAGCGUGGGGAGCAAACGGG